AUUCCAGCUCCAAUAGCGUAUACUAAAGUUGUUGCAGUUAAAAAGCUCGUAGUUGGAUUUCAGUCUUAAUUCGUCUGGCCCGCUCCCUUGAGGAGCCGAGUGCCGGUUGCGAAUUGGACUUCCUUCUAGCAUGAAUCUCCUACCGUUAUGCGGCCGGGAAGGACAUCUGGAUCAUUUACUUUGAAGAAAUUAGAGUGUUCAAAGCAAGCUUACGCUGUGAAUAUAUUAGCAUGGAAUAAUAACAUAGGACUCGGGUUCUAUUUUGUUGGUUUCUAGGACUCAAGUAAUGAUUGAUAGGGACAGUUGGGGGUGCUGCUAUUAUAUGGCCAGAGGUGAAAUUCACGGAUUCAUAUAAGAGCAACUUAUGCGAAAGCAUUCACCAAGGAUGUCUUCAUCA
rnacentral:rRNA from 1 species